AUUGAACGCUGGCGGCAGGCCUAACACAUGCAAGUCGAGCGGAUGAAGGGAGCUUGCUCCUGGAUUCAGCGGCGGACGGGUGAGUAAUGCCUAGGAAUCUGCCUGGUAGUGGGGUAUAACGUCCGGAAACGGGCGCUAAUACCGCAUACGUCCUGAGGGAGAAAGUGGGGGAUCUUCGGACCUCACGCUAUCAGAUGAGCCUAGGUCGGAUUAGCUAGUUGGUGGGGUAAAGGCCUACCAAGGCGACGAUCCGUAACUGGUCUGAGAGGAUGAUCAGUCACACUGGAACUGAGACACGGUCCAGACUCCUACGGGAGGCAGCAGUGGGGAAUAUUGGACAAUGGGCGCAAGCCUGAUCCAGCCAUGCCGCGUGUGUGAAGAAGGUCUUCGGAUUGUAAAGCACUUUAAGUUGGGAGGAAGGGCAGUAAGUUAAUACCUUGCUGUUUUGACGUUACCAACAGAAUAAGCACCGGCUAACUUCGUG
rnacentral:rRNA from 1 species